GAUUUUCUGGGCAGGACCAGAAUGCAUAUGGACUUCCAGGCAUCCUGGUUGCUGUUACAAGAGAGACAAAAAUCAAAAAAGAAGAGAUGAAUACUUGUUACUGAUGGCUAAUAGGUUAGUGAUGAUGAUGCUCGGUGACAAAGAAUCAAUGAAAAAGUAUCAGUGAAAUUUUUUUUUUGCCAUCUUUAAUUGUAAGAAACCCAUGCUGACUGGUCUGCUAAAGUUUCAUGGGGAAAUUGAAUACUGUGGGGAAAAGGUGGGUGAUGUCUUUAAGCCAUAUUAACCGUUUCUGUGUGUUUUGUGGUUGGACAGGGAGAUAAAAGUUGCUGGAAACGUCUUCUACAAUUCAGUGGCACUUCAUCAGUAUAAUGAAGUACCAUUUAGGCCAUCUUUGUUAGGGAGAAGCUCCUUUACUUCUAGUAUGCUCUCAUCUUUCAAAUCUCAUUACAGCAGCACCGUGAGUUUCUGCAGAUUUCCUUUCACAUACAGCAUCCAUAAGUAUGGAAGUUACAAAUUUAUCAUUUCUCUCUGGUUUUUCUUUUUUUUCAUUGUCUAAGUUCAUUGAUUUGCAACUUUUGUUUUUUUUUCUUAAUGUUGAAAGACAGAUAUGCAAAUUUUAUAAACAGUAUGCAUGGUUAAAUUUAGCUGUAAAUUCCAGUCAGGGAUUUCUGCUUUGUUUAUUGUCCAAGUCAAUAUGUCUGUGGAGAAAACCUCCCACUGUGCAAGAGUACACAGUCAGCUACUUGGAGAAGUAGAAAGUUUAAUUAUGAGAGUGUAUUCUGGGAAAAAAAAGUAAAACAAGCUCUGUUUUUUGUUGUUAUUGUUUAUUUUUUGUUAUUAUCAUUUCAAUUGACAGGAAUACAAUCUAGAUAGCUUAUCUUGACAUUAACUUCUAUGAGACGAACCAUGUCAUUUUUCUUUAAUGCGUUUGUCUAUGUAACUGAAGAAGUCAGAGAGACAGUAGAGUUGAUGAAUAAAUAGUACAUUUCUUAAACUUGCAAGGUAGGUAAGUGAGGUAAAUGAAAUAAAAUCCAACACUGGAGGAAAAAAAGGUCUAAACAUGUAUAUUGCUGAGAAUAUCCUCAUUAAAAUAUAACAAACAUUAUAUACAUACUAGUAUCAGGUUGCACGGAAGAUACAAAUUUGCACUGUUACUUCCUUAUAGUGAUUUUUGUUUAUGCUAUGGAAAUAAACUAUCUUUAAGUUUCUG
rnacentral:lncRNA from 7 species